GAUGAAGAACGUAGCGAAAUGGGAUAAGUAGUGUGAAUUGCAGAAUUCAGUGAAUCAUCGAAUCUUUGAACGCACAUUGCGCCCCUUGGUAUUCCAUGGGGCAUGCCUGUUCGAGCGUCAUCUACACCCUCAAGCUCUGCUUGGUGUUGGGCGUCUGUCCCGCCUCUGCGCGCGGACUCGCCCCAAAUUCAUUGGCAGCGGUCCUUGCCUCCUCUCGCGCAGCACAUUGCGCUUCUCGAGGUGCGCGGCCCGCGUCCACGAAGCAACAUUACCGUCUUUGACCUCGGAUCAGGGAGGGAUACCCGCUGAACUUAAGCAUAUCAAUAAGCGGAGGA
rnacentral:misc_RNA from 1 species